UUCUUCAUAUACUUGUUGAUCUCUUGUUGUAUGUGUGGUUAUUUCUGUACCCCAAUUUGUGUUGGAUGCUUCUGUUUUGGUGCCAUCAUGGGCAUUAUUUGCCAUUGCAUUGGCUUUUUCUUUGUUCUUUUUUCCUUUGAGCUCUGCAAACCACUAUGGGUAACCAUGUAGCCUGAAGCAUAUGUCCUUCGUGUGCCAUGUGUUUUUACAGUAGUGCAUGUUCUGCUGGUUUUUUCCUUUUUUCGGUUUGAAAUUUUUGGAUUGUCUUUUAGUUGGCAUAAAAUGCAACGGUCGCACCUUCGGUGAGUUGAUAUUAUGUACUUCCCUUUGUUUUUCAACACUAAUUACCAUGGAAUAACUCUGUUCACAGCAAGUAAAGGUUCCAUGA
rnacentral:lncRNA from 1 species